UACGGAGGGUGCGAGCGUUAAUCGGAAUUACUGGGCGUAAAGGGUGCGUAGGUGGUUUAAUAAGUUAUGUGUAAAAUCCCUGGGCUUAACCUAGGAAGGUCAGAUAAUACUGUUAGACUUGAGUAUAGGAGAGGGUAGUGGAAUUUCCGGUGUAGCGGUGAAAUGCGUAGAUAUCGGAAGGAACACCGGUGGCGAAGGCGGCUACCUGGCCUGAUACUGACACUGAGGCACGAAAGCGUGGGGAGCGAACAGG
rnacentral:rRNA from 1 species